rnacentral:rRNA from 1 species
AACGAACGCUAGCGGCAUGCCUCAAACAUGCAAGUCGCACGUGAACGGGGCUUCGGCUCCUAGUAAAGUGGCGCACGGGUGAGUAACACGUAAUUAACGUUCCCCCUCGCUGGGGAUAACUCCGGGAAACCGGAGCUAAUACCGAAUGAUCUGAUACGGACUGCGGUCUGUAUCGGUAAAGUCGUAAGGCGCGAGGGGAUCGGGUUGCGUCCCAUUAGCUUGUUGGUAGGGUAACGGCCUACCAAGGCUACGAUGGGUAGCUGGUCUGAGAGGACGAUCAGCCACACUGGAACUGACACACGGUCCAGACUCCCACGGGAGGCAGCAGUUGGGAAUAUUGGACAAUGGGGGAAACCCUGAUCCAGCAAUGCCGCGUGAGUGAUGAAGGCCUUCGGGUCGUAAAGCUCUUUUAGUGGGGACGAAUACAUUGACGGUACCCACAGAAAAAGCACCGGCUAACUCCGUGCCAGCCGCCGCGGUAA